rnacentral:rRNA from 1 species
UACGGAGGGUGCAAGCGUUAUCCGGAUUCACUGGGUUUAAAGGGUGCGUAGGCGGGUUGGUAAGUCAGUGGUGAAAUCUCCGGGCUUAACCCGGAACUGCCGUUGAUACUAUAUAUCUUGAAUGCCGUGGAGGUAAGCGGAAUAUGUCAUGUAGCGGUGAAAUGCUUAGAUAUGACAUAGAACACCUAUUGCGAAGGCAGCUUACUACACGGAGAUUGACGCUCAUGCACGAAAGCGUGGGGAGCAAACAGG